rnacentral:misc_RNA from 1 species
GGAUGAAGAACGCAGCGAAAUGCGAUAAGUAGUGUGAAUUGCAGAAUUCAGUGAAUCAUCGAAUCUUUGAACGCACAUUGCGCCCUUUGGUAUUCCAAAGGGCAUGCCUGUUCGAGCGUCAUUUGUACCCUCAAGCUUUGCUUGGUGUUGGGCGUCUUGUCUCUAGCUUUGCUGGAGACUCGCCUUAAAGUAAUUGGCAGCCGGCCUACUGGUUUCGGAGCGCAGCACAAGUUGCACUCUCUAUCAGCAAAGGUCUAGCAUCCAUUAAGCCUUUUUUUCAACUUUUGACCUCGGAUCAGGUAGGGAUACCCGCUGAACUUAAGCAUAUCAAUAAGCGAGGA